CAGGGGGUUGGACUAGAAGACCUCCAAGGUCCCUUCCAACUCUGGUAUUCUGUUCUAAGUUAGUGGUGUUCUGACCCAACUGGGUUCCCAAAGAACAAACACAGAUAAAGGCAGCAGCCCCCACCUAAAAGGUUUAAUAACAAAUUAUGUUCUGAAGACUGCUUUGCACUAAUUAGCUCCGACAAGAAAGAGCCUUGCCAAGUUGUUUGUCAAGGCUGUCAAAAACCCAGAGAUAAGAACUAAUUUACAAAAUUCUCCAAUCAUGAAC